rnacentral:rRNA from 1 species
AGAGUUUGAUCCUGGCUCAGGAUGAACGCUAGCGGCAGGCUUAAUACAUGCAAGUCGAGGGGCAGCAUGAGUGUAGCAAUACAUUUGAUGGCGACCGGCAAACGGGUGCGGAACACGUACAGAACCUUCCUUCGAGCGGGGAAUAGCCCAGAGAAAUUUGGAUUAAUACCCCAUAGUAUAACAGAGUGGCAUCACUUUGUUAUUAAAGAUUUAUCACUUGAAGAUGGCUGUGCGGCUGAUUAGAUAGUUGGCGGGGUAACGGCCCACCAAGUCUGCGAUCAGUAACUGGUGUGAGAGCACGACCAGUCACACGGGCACUGAGACACGGGCCCGACUCCUACGGGAGGCAGCAGUAAGGAAUAUUGGUCAAUGGACGAAAGUCUGAACCAGCCAUGCCGCGUGGAGGAUGAAGGCCCUCUGGGUUGUAAACUUCUUUUAUAUGGGACGAAAAAGGACCUUUCUAGGUCAACUGACGGUACCAUGUGAAUAAGCACCGGCUAACUCCGUGCCAGCAGCCGCGGUAAUACGGAGGGUGCAAGCGUUAUCCGGAUUCACUGGGUUUAAAGGGUGCGUAGGUGGGUUGGUAAGUCAGUGGUGAAAUCCCCGAGCUUAACUAGGGAACUGCC